AGCGAACGCUGGCGGCAGGCUUAACACAUGCAAGUCGAGCGGGCACUUUCGGGUGUCAGCGGCCGACGGGUGAGUAACGCGUGGGAACGUGCCCUCUGGUUCGGAAUAACUCAGGGAAACUUGAGCUAAUACCGGAUACGCUCUUUUGGGGAAAGGCUUGCUGCCGGAGGAUCGGCCCGCGUCUGAUUAGAUUGUUGGUGAGGUAACGGCACACCAAGGCGACGAUCAGUAGCUGGUCUGAGAGGAUGAUCAGCGACACUGGGACUGAGACACGGCCCAGAAUCCUACGGGAGGGAGCAGUGGGGAAUAUUGGACAGUGGGCGCAAGCAUGAUCCAGCCAGGCCGGGUGAGUGAUGAAGGCCUUAGGGUUGUAAAGCUCUUUUAUCCGGGACGAUAAUGACGGUACCGGAGGAAUAAGCCCCGGCUAACUUCGUG
rnacentral:rRNA from 1 species